rnacentral:rRNA from 1 species
AGUGAACAAUUAAACGGCCGCGGUACCCUAACCGUGCAAAGGUAGCAUAAUCAUUUGUCUAUUAAUUGUAGACCAGUAUGAAUGGGCAAAUGAGGGUCNNACUGUNUCNUAUAAUUNAUCNAUUAAACUGAUCUNCUAGUAAAAAAGUUAAGAUANNCCCAUNAGACCAGAAGANCCUGGGAAGCUUAAACUAAACUAUUAUACUCCAUAAUAACUACUUUCGGUUGGGGCGAACUUGGAAAAAAAAAGAACUUCCAAACAAUGACCAUAAAUCAUCCCACCAACUAGGCCUACAAGCCCAUAGACCCAGUCUAACUGAUAAACGAACCAAGUUACUCCAGGGAUAACAGGGCCAUCUUCUUUCAGAGCCCAUAUCAAAAAGAAGGCUUACGACCUCGAUGUUGGAUCAGGACAUCCUAA